UACGGAGGGAGCUAGCGUUGUUCGGAAUUACUGGGCGUAAAGCGCACGUAGGCGGCUUUGUAAGUUAGAGGUGAAAGCCCGGGGCUCAACUCCGGAACUGCCUUUAAGACUGCAUCGCUAGAAUCCGGGAGAGGUGAGUGGAAUUCCGAGUGUAGAGGUGAAAUUCGUAGAUAUUCGGAAGAACACCAGUGGCGAAGGCGGCUCACUGGUCCGGUACUGACGCUGAGGUGCGAAAGCGUGGGGAGCAAACAGG
rnacentral:rRNA from 1 species